rnacentral:rRNA from 1 species
CGAACGGGUGAGUAACGCGUGAGUAACCUGCCCUAGAGUGGGGGACAACAGUUGGAAACGACUGCUAAUACCGCAUAAGCCCACGGAUCCGCAUGGAUCUGCGGGAAAAGGAUUUAUUCGCUUUAGGAUGGACUCGCGUCCAAUUAGCUAGUUGGUGAGGUAACGGCCCACCAAGGCGACGAUUGGUAGCCGGACUGAGAGGUUGAACGGCCACAUUGGGACUGAGACACGGCCCAG